GUAUGGAUUGGAUUAUGGCAAGCCUAUUCUCCUGGGCCUUUCAUAAUGUCACAUGUCAAAGCAAACCAUGACCUUAGCCAAUUACAUACCCUCUGUCUAUAGGUUGCUAACACUGAUGUGAAUUGUCCAGUG
rnacentral:snoRNA from 1 species